GCUAAAACACAGAAUACCAAUGACUCUUAGACUCAUUCCCGGGCCUCCGGCUGACCACGGGAAAGGGGAUCUUCAGGAGCGGGUGUCUCAUGGCUGGGAAGAGGACGGCACAGGAGGGCUGGGGAACCCGAAUUGCAGCCUGAAUGGCCAGUGUCCUUUCUCCAGAAUGCAGUUCUCCCUUGCUCAGAAGAAAUGAGUCUGCCAGUGGGUACAACAUGAGAUGAUACUUCCACCCCCAUUGGUGACAGCCCUCACCUAGCUAUCAAGUUCAAAAUGAAGCAGACCAUAGCUGAGUUUAAAGGAGAUCCGAUUGACAUUGGGAAGUGGCACCCAAUAAGAUGGCUGUUUCUUCCGCCUGCUCCAGGGCUCGCCAACAGGAGAACUGAAAGCUGAAGCAUCUCAACCUGCAGAUACAUCUCAAAGGCCCCUUCAGCCGAUGUCCUCAGUGCCCUUGACACAGCCCCUUGGCACUUGCCUUCCACACACAUGCUGCUGCACCAGUUUCCUCCUGGUAGCAUCUUCCUUUCCGCCUGAGGAUUUCCCAGGCAUCCUGCCUCCAAGAAAGUCAGAAGUCAGUGCCUUCCUGAGAGCCGGUGAGAGCUCCGUCUCCCUUGGGCAAGUGGUGCUGAUGCCUGUUCCCUGCAUCCAUCUCUCAGAAGCCACAGCAGAACUGAGCUCCAGGGGCCACUGCGAGAAGCAUUUAUGGAGCUCGUGGAGUGAGGCAUCUCUUUAAUCCCUUCAGUAAGUCAGUGUGGGCCAAGGAGUCUGAGGAUCAGAGACCUUGUGACUUUUUAAGUGAAGAUUUACUAUGUGCUGGGGCCCAUUGUGUUUUAUUUUAUUGACUCGUCCCAAGCUCUAAGAGGGAGAGACCUUGAUUGUCCCAAUUUCACUGACACAGUUUGGGAAGGUUAAAACAUGAUGAAAGGAAAUAGACUGGAAUGAUACAGUAAUAUGGAAUUGAGCAUUUUCACCAACAUUUUUACAUGUUUUAAAAUGUCAUUUUCUGGCCAGGGGUGGUGGCUCACGCCUGUAACCCCAGCACUUUGGGAAGCUGAGGCUGGUGGAUCACUUGAGGCCAGGAGUUUGUGACCAGCCUGGCCAACACAGUGAAACCAUGUUUCUACUAAAAAUAUAAAAAAAUGGCUUGGUGUGGCCGUGCGCACUUUAAUACCAGGUACUUGGAAGGCCGAGGCAUGAGAAUCACUUGAAACUGGGAGGCAGAGUUUGCAGUGAGCCAAGAUCGUGCCACUGCACUCCAGCCUCGGAGACAGAGUGAGACUCUGUCUCAAAAAAAAAAAAAAAAAAAGUAAAUAAAAAUAAAAUGGUAUUUUAUUUUUCUUUCAUUCUUUUUUUUUUUUUUUACAAAAAAACUUUUAUUAUUAUUUUAGAUUUAAGAGGCACGUGUGCAGGUUUGUUACGUUGAUAUAUUGCAUAAUGGUAAGUUUUGGGCUUCUAGUGAACCCUUCACUCAAACAGUGACCGUUGUAUCUGACAGAUAAUUUUUCAGUUUUCACCUUCCUUCUGCUCUCCUGGCUUUUGGGUUCCCAGUGUCUAUUUUUUCCAUCUCUAUGUCCAUGUGGGCCCAUUGUUUAGCUCCCACUUACAAGUGAGGACAUGCAGUAUUUGAUUUCCUGUUUCUGAGUUAUUUAACUCAGAAUAAUGGUCUCCAGCUCCAUUCAUGCUGCUGCAAAAGACAUGAUUUCAUUCUUAAAAUGGCACUUUAUGAGGUUCGCUUUUCCUGGCAAGAUGAACUAACAAAAUGGAGAUGUUGGAUUCUUUUAUUAAACCCAAAUGUGGUGAGCCACAGAUGGAAGGUAGAAGGUUGCUGAUUCUCGAAAAAGAAUCUGGGAAAUGAUAGCCUAGGGUCAGGAGGGCCAGGUACCAAAAGGGAGGCUGGCUGGGGUUGUGGAGUUAUGUGCUUUUCCUUCCCUGAACUUCCCUCAAGAAAAUAAGAGCUUCCCCAUCACCUCAGCAAAGCAUCAGUCCCCCGGUGUUGAACCAGCUGGUACUCUGGCAGCCCUAAAGCACUCUCCUCCCGAGCUCCCACUUAAGCAAGGUGGGGAUGAUUUUAAGGCAGGCAGCUGUAGAAAAAGAGUAGGGCUCUGGGAGCUCUCCAGAGCUCCUCUGUCACCUGGCACAGAGGGUGGGUCACUCAGGGGAGGUCCAGCCCACAAUAAACAUGGAAGCCACGCACCCCGAUGUCAUCCCCCAGGCUCAUCCUCACCACGAGGCAGGCAAGGCCUGCACCUGGGCCUUUGCUCCUUCUCCCAGGGAUGUCAGACCAGCCAAGGCAGCCGGUGUUUCCACAUGCAUGUGGGCUCAGGAGGAUAUGAAAGGGUCAGGGCCAGCCCAAUAACUGAGCCACACACACUAGAUGAGAUGGUAGGGGAGUUCAGGCAGGGCAUGAAUUAAAGGAAGCUUAAUAAAUAUUCUCAAACAGAUCAGGAAAAACAAAACAAGAACACACAGCCACAAACAGACUUUAAUUGUUGGAAUAAAGAGCAUAAUUGAGGGACUGAAUAGUAGGGUGGAUUCAGUGGAAGAACAAAUCAGGAAGGACUCAGCAAGAUGAAGAGAUUGAGACGGAAAGUAAUAGUUAAGAACAUGGCUCCCUAUAACAGGAGUCCCAGAAAGAGGAAAAAAAUAAACAGGGGGUGAAACACACACACAAUUUCAGAAUGUAAGGUCUUAUAGAUAUAAUAAUAGUAGGAGAGAUGUCAAUAAAUCUUUUAAAAAAACACUGACAAAGGAGACAAAAAUUACCAAUAAUUUGGAAUAUUUGAGAAGCAUUAUAACAGUUACUUAAUGUUAUAUUGUCCAAUACAGUAGCCGAUAGCUACAUAACUCUUGAGCACUUGAAGUGUAGCUAAUGCAAGAAAAUUUUAAGAUUUUAUUUAAUUUUAAUUAAUUUAAAUUUUAAAACCUAAUACUUAAUUCAGGUAUUGAAAAACUUUUAAGUAUGUUUAGAACAAUCUGCUCUUUCAAUUGUAAAUUGAAAUCUAAAUACAGAUCAAGUGUAUCCAAUUUUAGUAUUUGUAUUGAAAUGCACUGAAAGAGCUAAAUCCACCCCAGGUUUCUAACACUCAAUACAGAAAAAUAAUGUAAAGCAUCUUGUUAAUAUUUUUAUAUUGAUUAUAUGUUCAAAUUGUUGUUUUGUAUAUAUUGUCUUAAAUAAUAUUAUUAAAAUUAAUUUCACCUGUGCAUUUUCACUUUUUAAUAUGGCUUCUAGAAAAUAUAAAAUUAUAUAUGUGGCUGGCAUUAUAUUUCUUUUGGACAACACUGAUCUAAUAGAUGUACAUAACUUACACCCACAGAGAAUAUUCAUUUUAAUUCCCAUGGAACAAAGAAAACUUUUGUAAAUGCCAAGUAAUCAAUACAUACACAAUGUGUUGAUUAUAAUGAAAUAAAGUUAAAAAAUCAGUAAUGGCAAUAAAACCACUUCGACCAUCUCUUGGACACAUAAAACAUUAUAAUGUAUGGUAUAUAACCAUUGGGGUUUAGAGGAAAUUUAAAAGAUAUUACAAAAUACUUGGAACUGGAUAAGAACAAAAGUGUCAAAUGUCAAACUUUAUGACCCAUAACUCUCAAGUUGCACUUAAAGUUUUACAUAAUUUUGAAUACACAAAUAGCAAACAAGACACCGAAAGACCACAUACCUAAGGACAUAACUAAACAUAUUAGAAAAAGAAAAAGAAAAAUGACAGAAUAAAACCAAAGCAAAGAAAAAGAUAUAAAGUGAGUUUAAAAAAAUCAAUGAAAUUGCCAAAAAUCCCCAUUAAAAUGUGAUUCUUUGAAAAAUGAGAUGGCAAAAGUGUCUGUGAAACUCUACACGCCAAUACAUUUAGACCCAGAUGGACAACGGCUUAGGAAAAAUAGCAGCCUUGGACUAGAGGAAUCAAAGGAAAGCUGCCGACAUGGAGUCACAAACAGCACUCUCUCUCCCAAUAGAAGCUUCUAGACAGGUUCCAAACCCAAACUAGGAAACCCGUUCCAGGAGGUUCCUAAGUGAGUGAGUGAUUUGGGAGCCAGAACACACAGGGAAUCCAGGGGAAAGUAGUAAAAUAAAAUAAAACAAGAAGGGCCUUGGGUGAGCACACUGCACCAUGGCCUGAGUAGUAGUAUUAUUUCAAUUAUUUGCACCUGAGGAGACGUACAGUUGCUUUCAAUGUCCAGAAUUUGCAGGUGAACCUCUCAGACCUUUGCUUUUCUCCUUUAUGGGUUUCUUUUCCCUGGGACACAUUGUCAGCCCUUAGCUGCUCACUAAAGCCUCCUGAUUUGAGAUCUAUAUGACAAAUGCCUGAUGCUAAGCAGAGAUGCUGAGGCCUGGAGCCAGGAAGGCGAAUUAGUUUCCUAGUUCUAAAGGUAGGGGUGUGUGGUGCAUGCAUGAGAGAGAGAGAGAGAGAGAAACAAGAGGGAGA
rnacentral:lncRNA from 1 species